UCCUCCGACGGCCGCGCCGCUCCGCUCACCACCGCCUCCGCCUGCUCCAUCUCGCUCUUCUCCUCUUCUUCUUAUCCUCCCACAUCUCUCCGACGAGGGCGCGUGCGGUCCUUCCGCCGCGUACUGGCGAACAAGCGAGCCUACGCCGCCGCGCACGGAUAAGGCCUUGCCUUCCUCACCGCGGCCGCAGUCGACCCCCGCUCCACCACUGUCUCAUCUGGAACCAUGCGGAAUGUUUAUGUGGUUCAUAAUUUUUAUGUAAUGAAGGAGUGCUUGGCAUGGCAAUUUCAACGCAUCGCCUGAUCUCAUUCUGCCGGAGGACUUAAAUGGUGUGAAGGCAGGUUUUGUUAGCUGUUCGGAGUUUGCUGCAGCUGACUCAACGAUGAUAUAUAUGUUUCAGCGCAAGAAAGAAUGAUGUUAUAUAUUUUUCAGUGCAAAAGAUUGAUGUUAUAUAUUUUGGGAAGUUUAGUUGGACGAAUCAUGGGUGGACGUGUUGGAUGAGUUGACAUUCCAUGAUGAGAAAAGAGAGUAGUAUGUUCUGGAAUUCAAAAUCCUCUCGAAAAAAUUCCAGAUCACAUUGAAGAAGUUUAAUCAGCAAAUCAGAGGAGAAGGAAGAAGCAAAUUAGUCAGCUGCAAGGUGAUACAGGAAUGGUGGAAGAUAACAAAGGGAAUGUGGAGACAAGUGGUUUAGAGUUGUGCUCAGUGGAAAAUUUUACUGAAGGAAGAAGGAAGAGAAGAGCUGAAUCUGUUGUUGAGCAAGUUGGAGAUGUUGGUUCGGCUGCCGCCGGCUGCUGUCGUGGCCGGAGCCUGGCUGACACCUCAGAAGAAGGUGAGAUCAACUCUGGAGGUUUGCGACAUGAACAGUACAAGGGGUUUUGGCCCGAUGUUGAUUACAGAUGAAGAUCUGGUGAGGAUCCUGGAGGCAAAUGAUCUGAUCCUGGUGGGUGACGGAGCAGGCUUCAAAGUCCUGAAGCGUCCCUGAACAAGUUAGCCUGGGGGUUUGGUGCUGAUGGUUUUUAGAUGUUGUUUCCAUCUAGCCCUUUGAUGCUUUGUCAGAAAACUUCUAGUUGUUUGGUCUGUAGCUUAAAAUUGGUAUGUGUGUUUGUGUGAGUGCUGGUGGUCUGUAAAGAAUACUCUAGUGUUGUUUUUGUGCCUGAGGUUUCAGUAAAAUGGAGCCGGGGUUUGGAGCCCUGUUCUUCUAAAAAACAAACAGUCCUAUCAAUACAUGCCCUAA